rnacentral:pre_miRNA from 1 species
UUAGCUCAUAUUUGUAUGGAAUGGGAUCGUUUGCGUACGUUUGCCGCUAGGGGCGCUGUUCCAACUGCAUACAAAACUGGCUUA